GGGUUGUGAGGUUAAGCGACUAAGCGUACACGGUGGAUGCCCUGGCAGUCAGAGGCGAUGAAGGACGUGCUAAUCUGCGAUAAGCGUCGGUAAGGUGAUAUGAACCGUUAUAACCGGCGAUUUCCGAAUGGGGAAACCCAGUGUGUUUCGACACACUAUCAUUAACUGAAUCCAUAGGUUAAUGAGGCGAACCGGGGGAACUGAAACAUCUAAGUACCCCGAGGAAAAGAAAUCAACCGAGAUUCCCCCAGUAGCGGCGAGCGAACGGGGAGCAGCCCAGAGCCUGAAUCAGUGUGUGUGUUAGUGGAAGCGUCUGGAAAGGCGCGCGAUACAGGGUGACAGCCCCGUACACAAAAAUGCACAUGCUGUGAGCUCGAUGAGUAGGGCGGGACACGUGGUAUCCUGUCUGAAUAUGGGGGGACCAUCCUCCAAGGCUAAAUACUCCUGACUGACCGAUAGUGAACCAGUACCGUGAGGGAAAGGCGAAAAGAACCCCGGCGAGGGGAGUGAAAAAGAACCUGAAACCGUGUACGUACAAGCAGUGGGAGCACGCUUCGGCGUGUGACUGCGUACCUUUUGUAUAAUGGGUCAGCGACUUAUAUUCUGUAGCAAGGUUAACCGAAUAGGGGAGCCGAAGGGAAACCGAGUCUUAACUGGGCGUUAAGUUGCAGGGUAUAGACCCGAAACCCGGUGAUCUAGCCAUGGGCAGGUUGAAGGUUGGGUAACACUAACUGGAGGACCGAACCGACUAAUGUUGAAAAAUUAGCGGAUGACUUGUGGCUGGGGGUGAAAGGCCAAUCAAACCGGGAGAUAGCUGGUUCUCCCCGAAAGCUAUUUAGGUAGCGCCUCGUGAAUUCAUCUCCGGGGGUAGAGCACUGUUUCGGCAAGGGGGUCAUCCCGACUUACCAACCCGAUGCAAACUGCGAAUACCGGAGAAUGUUAUCACGGGAGACACACGGCGGGUGCUAACGUCCGUCGUGAAGAGGGAAACAACCCAGACCGCCAGCUAAGGUCCCAAAGUCAUGGUUAAGUGGGAAACGAUGUGGGAAGGCCCAGACAGCCAGGAUGUUGGCUUAGAAGCAGCCAUCAUUUAAAGAAAGCGUAAUAGCUCACUGGUCGAGUCGGCCUGCGCGGAAGAUGUAACGGGGCUAAACCAUGCACCGAAGCUGCGGCAGCGACGCUGAUGCGUUGUUGGGUAGGGGAGCGUUCUGUAAGCCUGCGAAGGUGUGCUGUGAGGCAUGCUGGAGGUAUCAGAAGUGCGAAUGCUGACAUAAGUAACGAUAAAGCGGGUGAAAAGCCCGCUCGCCGGAAGACCAAGGGUUCCUGUCCAACGUUAAUCGGGGCAGGGUGAGUCGACCCCUAAGGCGAGGCCGAAAGGCGUAGUCGAUGGGAAACAGGUUAAUAUUCCUGUACUUGGUGUUACUGCGAAGGGGGGACGGAGAAGGCUAUGUUGGCCGGGCGACGGUUGUCCCGGUUUAAGCGUGUAGGCUGGUUUUCCAGGCAAAUCCGGAAAAUCAAGGCUGAGGCGUGAUGACGAGGCACUACGGUGCUGAAGCAACAAAUGCCCUGCUUCCAGGAAAAGCCUCUAAGCAUCAGGUAACAUCAAAUCGUACCCCAAACCGACACAGGUGGUCAGGUAGAGAAUACCAAGGCGCUUGAGAGAACUCGGGUGAAGGAACUAGGCAAAAUGGUGCCGUAACUUCGGGAGAAGGCACGCUGAUAUGUAGGUGAAGUCCCUCGCGGAUGGAGCUGAAAUCAGUCGAAGAUACCAGCUGGCUGCAACUGUUUAUUAAAAACACAGCACUGUGCAAACACGAAAGUGGACGUAUACGGUGUGACGCCUGCCCGGUGCCGGAAGGUUAAUUGAUGGGGUUAGCCGCAAGGCGAAGCUCUUGAUCGAAGCCCCGGUAAACGGCGGCCGUAACUAUAACGGUCCUAAGGUAGCGAAAUUCCUUGUCGGGUAAGUUCCGACCUGCACGAAUGGCGUAAUGAUGGCCAGGCUGUCUCCACCCGAGACUCAGUGAAAUUGAACUCGCUGUGAAGAUGCAGUGUACCCGCGGCAAGACGGAAAGACCCCGUGAACCUUUACUAUAGCUUGACACUGAACAUUGAGCCUUGAUGUGUAGGAUAGGUGGGAGGCUUUGAAGUGUGGACGCCAGUCUGCAUGGAGCCGACCUUGAAAUACCACCCUUUAAUGUUUGAUGUUCUAACGUUGACCCGUGAUCCGGGUUGCGGACAGUGUCUGGUGGGUAGUUUGACUGGGGCGGUCUCCUCCUAAAGAGUAACGGAGGAGCACGAAGGUUGGCUAAUCCUGGUCGGACAUCAGGAGGUUAGUGCAAUGGCAUAAGCCAGCUUGACUGCGAGCGUGACGGCGCGAGCAGGUGCGAAAGCAGGUCAUAGUGAUCCGGUGGUUCUGAAUGGAAGGGCCAUCGCUCAACGGAUAAAAGGUACUCCGGGGAUAACAGGCUGAUACCGCCCAAGAGUUCAUAUCGACGGCGGUGUUUGGCACCUCGAUGUCGGCUCAUCACAUCCUGGGGCUGAAGUAGGUCCCAAGGGUAUGGCUGUUCGCCAUUUAAAGUGGUACGCGAGCUGGGUUUAGAACGUCGUGAGACAGUUCGGUCCCUAUCUGCCGUGGGCGCUGGAGAACUGAGGGGGGCUGCUCCUAGUACGAGAGGACCGGAGUGGACGCAUCACUGGUGUUCGGGUUGUCAUGCCAAUGGCACUGCCCGGUAGCUAAAUGCGGAAGAGAUAAGUGCUGAAAGCAUCUAAGCACGAAACUUGCCCCGAGAUGAGUUCUCCCUGACUCCUUGAGAGUCCUGAAGGAACGUUGAAGACGACGACGUUGAUAGGCCGGGUGUGUAAGCGCAGCGAUGCGUUGAGCUAACCGGUACUAAUGAACCGUGAGGCUUAACCUUACAACGCCGAAGGUGUUU
rnacentral:rRNA from 1 species